ACAUUUUACGUUCUGGUUAUAUGUGCAGAUAAGAGACAAUGUGAAUAGAUCUUGUCUGUGCACCCGACACUCUUUUGAUGAAGGCUGCUGCUGGCUAGGCAACAUUCAUUGCUUAUCCCCAAUUGCCCAGAGGACCGUUAAGAAUCAACCACAUUCCUGUGGGUCUAUAGUCACAUGUAGGCCUGACCAGGAUCGAUGAUGUCUGGGGUGAAAGCCAGCACAGACUCCCAUCCUCAACGUGGACUUGAAUUCCUGGUCUCAAAAGUAUUCGAACUGCCGACCUCAGUGUGGACCUGAAUUGCCAGCAUCAGCAUGGACUUGAUUCCCGGCUUUAGUGUGAACUUGACUCCUGGCCUUAGCAUGAACUCGACUGCCGGCCUCACGGUGAAGCCAGGUCUGAGCUGAAAGGAUUGUUAUUGGAACAAAAGAACAAAGAACAAAGAACAAAGAAAAUUACAGCACAGGAACAGGGCCUUCGACCCUCCAAGCCUGUGCCGAUCCAGAUCCUCUAUCUAAA